rnacentral:rRNA from 1 species
GACGAACGCUGGCGGCGUGCUUAACACAUGCAAGUCGAACGGAAAGGCCCUGCUUUUGUGGGGUGCUCGAGUGGCGAACGGGUGAGUAACACGUGAGUAACCUGCCCUUGACUUUGGGAUAACUUCAGGAAACUGGGGCUAAUACCGGAUAGGAGCUCCUGCUGCAUGGUGGGGGUUGGAAAGUUUCGGCGGUUGGGGAUGGACUCGCGGCUUAUCAGCUUGUUGGUGGGGUAGUGGCUUACCAAGGCUUUGACGGGUAGCCGGCCUGAGAGGGUGACCGGCCACAUUGGGAAUGAGAUACGGCCCAGAUCCCUACGGGAGGCAGAAGGGGGGAAUAUUGAACAAUGGGCGGAAGCCUGAUGCAGCAACGCCGGGUGGGGGAUGACGGCCUUCGGGUUGUAAACCGCUUUCGCCUGGGACGAAGCGGGAGUGACGGUAAGGGGAAAAGAAGCACCGGCUAACUACGU